AUUGAACGCUGGCGGCAGGCCUAACACAUGCAAGUCGAGCGAGCGGCGGACGGGUGAGUAAUGUAUGGGGAUCUGCCUGAUGGAGGGGGAUAACUACUGGAAAAGGUAGCUAAUACCGCAUACCAUCAGAUGAACCCAUAUGGGAUUAGCUUGUAGGGUAGGUAACGGCUACCCUAGGAGACGAUCCCUAGCUGGUCUGAGAGGAUGAUCAGCCACACUGGGACUGUGACACGGCCCAGACUCCUACGGGAGGCAGCAGGGGGGAAUAUUGCACAAGGGGCGCAAGCCUGAUGCAGCCAUGCCGCGUGAAUGAAGAAGGCCUUCGGGUUGUAAAGUUCUUUCGGUAGCGAGGCGUUAACUACAGAAGAAGCACCGGCUAACUCCGUGCCAGCAGCCGCGGUAAUAC
rnacentral:rRNA from 1 species